AGGUUGUGCCCUUGAGGCGUGGCUUCCGGAGCUAACGCGUUAAGUAGACCGCCUGGGGAGUACGGCCGCAAGGUUAAAACUCAAAUGAAUUGACGGGGGCCCGCACAAGCGGUGGAGCAUGUGGUUUAAUUCGAUGCAACGCGAAGAACCUUACCUGGUCUUGACAUCCACGGAAGAAUUCAGAGAUGGAUUUGUGCCUUCGGGAACCGUGAGACAGGUGCUGCAUGGCUGUCGUCAGCUCGUGUUGUGAAAUGUUGGGUUAAGUCCCGCAACGAGCGCAACCCUUAUCCUUUGUUGCCAGCGGUUAGGCCGGGAACUCAAAGGAGACUGCCAGUGAUAAACUGGAGGAAGGUGGGGAUGACGUCAAGUCAUCAUGGCCCUUACGACCAGGGCUACACACGUGCUACAAUGGCGCAUACAAAGAGAAGCGACCUCGCGAGAGCAAGCGGACCUCAUAAAGUGCGUCGUAGUCCGGAUUGGAGUCUGCAACUCGACUCCAUGAAGUCGGAAUCGCUAGUAAUCGUGGAUCAGAAUGCCACGGUGAAUACGUUCCCGGGCCUUGUACACACCGCCCGUCACACCAUGGGAGUGGGUUGCAAAAGAAGUAGGUAGCUUAACCUUCGGGAGGGCGCUUACCACUUUGUGAUUCAUGACUGGGGUGAAGUCGUAACAAGGUAACCGUAGGGGAACCUGCGGUUGGAUCACCUCCUUA
rnacentral:rRNA from 1 species